UUUUUUUUUUUUUUUUCUUCUUCCCCAAGCCCCUCUAUGUUUCCUAAUUUCGUUGUUGUGAAUGAUCAACUCUUUGUGGAAGAGCUGCCUUUCAGAGAAGACUGGACAACUGGAGUUAUGCACACCUAGCAGGAAGACAGUCGAGCAUACUGCAGAUGUCUGCAAGUAACAUGCGGAGUUUUUGGUGGCUGCCCUUGGAUUUCAUACAAGUCCAGGGAUCUUAAUGAAAAUGCAGCUGGCUGCUCCUCUUGUGUAUGGACAGCACCUAAUCAUUCUGAAUUUUAAAGAUACAUCUUUUGGCAGUGCAACUGAUGUAAGUAAAUUAUGAUGUCUCUGAUGCUGGUGGAUUGAUCCAUGUUUUUACAUUGUUCAGAUAUCUGCUUAUAAAUGUACCUUAUAUCAAGCA
ensembl:lncRNA